UGAUGGCGUACUGUAAAAAAAUACAUUGAAAAUAUUUAUAGUUUUGCAAAAUGUUCAGAAAGUUAAUGCGAAGUUAAUAAUAAAAUUUAUAAAAUGUUUUUAUUUGUAUUUUUUAUUACCUGUGUUCUACAGCCUUUAGUGCAAUAUAUCGGUGUAAACGGCAGAAGAGAAUCUCUCAAACGCUUUGUAGUAGAAGAAGGCUCUAAACCUGCAAUCUUCGGUUCGUACAGUUACGAUCCAGUGAAGCAAGUAUUCGUACCACCGCAACAAGAAGGAGGCGAGGGCGGCACUCCCACAGACAUUAGUCCCUUUCCGCCUCAAUUCGUUAACGACUCAUACAUCUCAACGGCUAUCGGAGACUUAGAUCAGGAACCGUCCCACCCUGGCGGCCCUCAACAUGUGACUCCCCACGGCGCAGGACACGACGCUCAUCCUAGCCCAGGUCACGACGCUCAUCCUGGCCCAGGCCACGACGCUCAUCCUGGCCCAGGCCACGAAUCUCAUCCCGGAGAUCCAACUUCACCCAUCUUU